CCUACGGGUGGCAGCAGUGGGGAAUUUUCGACAAUGGGGGGAACCCUGAUCGAGCGACGCCGCGUGAGUGAAGAAGUAUUUCGGUAUGUAAAGCUCUAUCAGCAGGGAAGAAAGGAAUGACGGUACCUGCCUAAGAAGCCCCGGCUAACUACGUGCCAGCAGCCGCGGUCAAACGUAGGGGGCAAGCGUUAUCCGGCUUUACUGGGUGUAAAGGGAGCGUAGACGGUUACGCAAGUCUGGAGUGAAAGGUGGGGGCCCAAACCCCGGAGUGCUUUGGAAACUGUAUAACUGGAGUGCAAGAGAGGUAAGUGGAAUGACUAGUGUAGCGGUGAAAUGCGUAGAUAUUAGGAGGAACACCAGUGGCGAAGGCGGCUUACUGGACUGUAACUGACGUUGAGGCUCGAAAGCGUGGGGAGCAAACAGGAUUAGAUACCCCGGUAGUC
rnacentral:rRNA from 1 species